AAAACGUUCGAUGAUCUCUAGAAAUAAUUUGUAUUCAAAUGAAUUUUAAUCAUCUUCUAAUUGGUUGUUUACAGGUUACGUGCCCUGAAACACAUAAUAUGGAGACGCGUCUCUCGAAACGGCGUAUGGCGUCAAGCGUCGAGACACCCGCGAAACGAAAGGCUGAUAGCGAGAAAACUAACAGUGAUAAUACAGGCGUAACC